rnacentral:rRNA from 1 species
UAGGGAAUUUUCGUCAAUGGGGGCAACCCUGAACGAGCAAUGCCGCGUGAGCGAAGAAGGUCUUCGGAUUGUAAAGCUCUGUUGCCGGGGAAAAAGGAAGGAAAGAGGAAAUGCUUUUCUUUGGAUGGUACCCGG